rnacentral:rRNA from 1 species
UACAGAGGGGGCAAGCGUUGUUCGGAAUUACUGGGCGUAAAGGGCGCGUAGGCGGCCUGCUAAGUCGAACGUGAAAUCCCUGGGCUCAACCCAGGAACUGCGUCCGAUACUGGUUGGCUUGAAUCCGGGAGAGGGAUGUGGAAUUCCAGGUGUAGCGGUGAAAUGCGUAGAUAUCAUGAGGAAUACCAGAGGCGAAGGCGGCUACCUGGACAAUUGCUGACGCUCGAGGCACGAAAGCGUGGGGAG